UCAUCUUCGGGGGUAGAGCACUGUUUCGGCUAGGGGGUCAUCCCGACUUACCAACCCGAUGCAAACUACGAAUACCGAAGAAUGUUAUCACGGGAGACACACGGCGGGUGCUAACGUUCGUCGUGAAGAGGGAAACAACCCAGACCGCCAGCUAAGGUCCCAAAGUCAUGGUUAAGUGGGAAACGAUGUGGGAAGGCAUAGACAGCCAGGAUGUUGGCUUAGAAGCAGCCAUCAUUUAAAGAAAGCGUAAUAGCUCACUGGUCGAGUCGGCCUGCGCGGAAGAUGUAACGGGGCUAAACCAUGCACCGAAGCUGCGGCAGCGACACUUAGGUGUUGUUGGGUAGGGGAGCGUUCUGUAAGCCGUCGAAGGUGGUCUGUGAGGGCUGCUGGAGGUAUCAGAAGUGCGAAUGCUGACAUAAGUAACGAUAAUGCGGGUGAAAAACCCGCACGCCGGAAGACCAAGGGUUCCUGUCCAACGUUAAUCGGGGCAGGGUGAGUCGACCCCUAAGGCGAGGCUGAAAAGCGUAGUCGAUGGGAAACAGGUUAAUAUUCCUGUACUCGGUGUUACUGCGAAGGGGGGACGGAGAAAGCUAGGUUAUCCGGGCGACGGUUGUCCCGGUUUAAGCGUGAAGGUGGAUGACUUUGGUAAAUCCGGGUCAUU
rnacentral:rRNA from 2 species